GGCAGUGUGUGCUAUAUGUAGUGACAAGGCUAGGUCAGCAUAGGCAGUGUGUGCUAUAUGUAGUGACCAGGCUAGGUCAGUAUAGGCAGUGUGCGCUAUAUGUAAUGACCAGGCUAGGUCAGUAUAGGCUGUGUGCGCUAUAUGUAGUGACAAGGCUAGGUCAUCAUAGGCAGUGUGCGCUAUAUGUAGUGACAAGGCUAGGUCAGUAUAGCCAGUGUGUGCUAUAUGUAGUGACCAGGCUAGGUCAGUAUAGGCUGUGUGCGCUAUAUGUAGUGACAAGGCUAGGUCAGUAUAGGAUGUGUGCGCUAUAUGUAGUGACAAGCAUUGC